rnacentral:lncRNA from 1 species
UUGUCGCCGUCUUCGCCGUCAUUGCUGCCUCGACUCUAUUUCAUUCUUCACCGGUAUUGUCUCUUGCCAUUUUCAUUUUUCUUCCCCUUUUAAUUUCCUCUUUCAUUUCCUUAGAUAUUUUCUGCUCUAAAACCCCAUAAAUGUUUCAUUCUCAUAUUUCUUCUUUCUCCUCUCUUUUGACAUGCCUGGCAACGACAAUGAAUUAACGAAGCGCACACAACGGCAUCGACUUCCUCCAGCGCAGAGGUAAGGGUUCAGAUUCACAUCCAUUCAAUUUUGGUUCUUUCAAUUUAUUGGGUGAUUGUUCUUCUAGCUUUUACUCACAUAAUUUUUUUGGUAUGUAAAAUUAUAGAUUUCUCCUCAUUCUGAUAUGUAAUAGUAUUAGUUUUGCCCUGAGAUUGAGUUUUUGACUUUAUCAAUGAACCAACACUUUAGUUUUGAUUAUUUUGUUACAAAUUCAUUUAUUCUUAAUGGAUGUUAGAUUUUACAUGUGUUUGUUUAAUUUUCUUUUAUAGCUGUAUCAUGUUUUGCCUUUUUUUCUUCUUCUCUGUAUUUUGGGAGUAAAUUGCAUUUUGGGUUGGUAGAGAUUUGAAAUCAUUAUGCAUAGAAUGAAAUUAGUUAUGCUUUGAACAUUGUUUGGGUUGGGCUGAUAUUUAUCACAAUAUCUUUCGGAUUAGGUAACAUAGUGUUUCUAAUCCCAUGUUUACAAUUGUUGGUGGUAUGUCCAAUGUAAUUCUAUUUAACAUGAAUUGCUAUGGAUACUAUAUGUUUCAUUUAUUCAAGACUAAUCCCAUGUUAGUUUCUUUAUAUUAGUUAAUGUGUUGACUGUUGUUUAUUGACAUUUGACUCAUUAUGCCGGGAAUCUCAACAUAGUUUCAAUAGUUCAAAAAGUAGCAGAAUUAGCUUUACUGAUCUUGCUGAACAGGAAUAGAUCAGUUGUUGGGGCAACAUAGAAUGUCUAAGGGAUGCUCUAGCUAAGUUGUAAGUUGAAAUUAAUAUAUGAUAUGAUGGUUGAAAUUAAUAUCUUGAUCUUAUUUUACUUCUUCAUUCUUUCUAACCACUGUUUCAUUUCAUCGAUGCAGACACUUAUGCUCUUACUAAAUAAUCUUUCCAGGAAAAUAGAAGUUCCAAUCACAUACUUUAAAUUCUAUAAAUGUGAGUAUGAUAAUGAUUUAAGACCGAGUUAGUAUGUGGCUUCUUAGUGAUUCAGAUUUUUGACGCUUUCAACUCAUAUAGUUUAUAUUUCUUGGUGAAGCACAUGCUAUGUAAUAUAUGAUUCAAAUUUUGUAAGUAUAUGAAUAAUACAUGUCAGAGUAGUGUUUGUUUGUACUUUUCACAUUUUUUUUUGGUAUGGCCUCCAAACUCAAUCAAACACAAGAAUAUCCACAUCUAAUAAAAAAUGAAAGUUUUAUUUUGACACCAUAACAAAUUAGUUUGGAAUUUUUAUUGUUAUUACGAGUUCAGAUAACAAAAUAUAUCAUAUUAUAAAUUAGACAAGUUAGUAAAGUAUGAACUAUUUUUUUUGGACUAAAUGGACAGGCAUGAGUUAGGAUCCUCUCCAUUUCCAAUUUUUUCCAUUUCCUCCAUUAUUAUGUAGUUUUGGGAAUAUAAAUGCAAAAAUGUGACAUUAAGUGGGUUCAAAUAUCAUUUAUACACCCCAAAAUAUUUAAAAACUUUGGUAAUGGAAGAAAUGGAAAAUAUGAGAAAUGGAGAGGAUCCCAACUCGCCAGGCAUGAUGAUUUGUUUAAUUCAUGUAUUCUUUCCUUUUUGUGUUUACUAACAGCCAACAGGUGUGACGACUAAUUGAAUUUAUUCAAUGUUUAUUAUGAAUUAUUUACUAUUUUUAUAUGAAAACAAUAAUUCAAUAUAUUUUGUCAUGUUAUACAAUUAAAUUUAAUAUAGUGGGGUGAUUUGGCAGUAUAAACGAUUAAUAUUAAAUAAUAUAGUAAAAUUAUUUUACACUGUCGUUGUAAAUUCUAUUUGCUCUAACAAAUUCACAAUUUAUUGAUGUUACAUAUAUGACCCGUGCGAACGCACGGGCAAAAUGUCUAGUGAUAGUUAGUACUAUAAUACUCCCUAAUCCUCUAAUUAAUUUCCCUCCAAACAACCUAUUAAUUAAUUAAAAUUAAAUUUUUUUUAAAAAAAAACGAGGUUGCAUAGAAAAAAACGCCCCACCCAUGCCUUAAUUGUAGUUCAUUGAGCCACUCAAUAUAAGGUAUAUGGAGCCACAUAAAAGCAUUUAAACAUGUGUUCCCUAUAUAUGCUAUUUACAAGGCCUGAUUGAAUUUUUCUAAUAAAUAGCAUUUAUUGUUUGUAUUUCUUAAAAAUUGGUCACUUUCUCUCUCAGUUUUCUCUCUCUCCCUCUCUCAUAUCGCUCACUCUCUCUCCCUCUCUCAUGUAAUUCUCUGUAUACAAAUUUCUCCUGUCUCUCCGAUAUAUGCCUUCUCAUUCCUGCAUUUUAUUUCAUUCUAGCAAGCUUCACCUUUACAUUUUGCUUUGUGAUUGUCCUCUGCAGGUUUGAAUGGAGCGCACUAGGAGGAGUUUGGUGGUGGUUGAGGGGAUUCUGAGAUGAAUUCAUUGAAGGAGUCAUCGAUCAGUAAGGUAUUUAUAGUUACAAUAAUAUUUUACGGGUACAACACCUCCAUGACUGUGUUUUGCCAAUUUUAGACUUUAAUCCGUUGCUUCUAUUCCAGGAUUUAGAAGAAUGGAACCUGAAUGGCCAUGAAAGUAAGUUUUAAAUUUUAUCUACCUUUUUGUUUCUUUAUUUUCAUGAAAUCAACAUUUAUACACUUUUGUGUCUUGCUAUUAUUGAAAUUCCUUUUGAAUCUGGUCCAAGAAGCAAGCACCUAUAGAAGGAAGUGAUCAUAGAUUUAGGUGGAGAUUAUUUGAUAAGACAGAAAGAAACUGCAAGUGCGAGAAGAAGAGUUUGACAUAUUCAGUUUGCUUAAUGUAAGUUUUAAAUUGGGGUUUUUAAACUUAGUGUUCUUUCUUCUCCAGUUGCUGAAUCUAACAACGUUGAGAUUCUUUUGCAGGGCUCAUUGGCAAAUUAAGGUAUUUUUUAUUGUACUUUUAAUUUUUGAUUAGUUUGCUAUUUCUUUUUUUAUUGCUUUUAUGAUUCUUAACUUUAAUAUGAUAUCAUGCUAUUUCUAUUCUUGCUUAAUAAUUCUAAGUCUCAGUAUACUCUUACAUAUAUCUUGACCUAUUUUAUUGUUAACAUUUUAAAUUUGUUUAUCAAAUUGAAGUUUUUGUAAUUACAGAAAUAUGGACUACUCAAAUUCAACUUAAUCAAUGAGUUAAUUUCAUUAAAAAAAAAUUACCAUUAGUGACAAUAGUUGUAUAUUUGUGAACCAUCUAUGAUAUUUGCAUCAUGUUAUACAGUUUUUAUGAUCUCUUAUCCACUUUAAUGAUUUGUACCUUUUGGAAUGAUCUAGGACAUAUUGCUCUGUUAUUGGCAUUUGGAAGUACUUAUGUAGUUUUAUGGCAUUUGGAAUGUUUUUAUGGUCUUCUAUUGGAUUCAUAUUAUGUAGUUUUAAGUAUGCUUUUCAUAAGUUUAAUAAAAUACUGACAUAACUUGAAACUGAUAUGCUUCACGAGGCUAUCAAAGAAACGAAUUACUCAUUUUUCAUGUCCUAUGUAUAAGCAAUCGGUUUCUCUAUAAAAUUUAAAUUGAUGUCCUUGGCUAAUUGAUAUUUUAUUCUUUAGCUUCAUUUUGGAAAUGGUAAUUGAUGUACUUGGCUAAAUUGAUGUGCAAAUUUUUGAAAGAAAAUAUUGUUGAAAAAUGAAUAUGCAAAUUUUUUAGCAUAGUUUAUUUGAUCUUUAUAUGCUGCAGAGCCUCUCUUGCAGAAAGUUGAAGCAACAUAUCAUUUUCACUUGAAGUUUCAGCUUAAUUGGCUCUUCAUUCUUUCUAACCACUGUUUCUUAAUUGUUGUGUUAUAUGGUAGCAAUGUUACUUGCAAGAUAACAAUUGUGGAAGAAGGCAGUAUCAAUCCUAUCUUGAAGUUUCAGCCUUGGAAUAAAUUUUUUUAAUUUAUUUUCUCAAUGUAUGAUGUAAUGUUAGAGAAUGAUAUGGUUGUUUUGGUAACAUACAAUAGCUCUUAACUUUCUUGGCAAUGACAUCUUAAAGAAGGAAAUGUAGUGAAUAACAUUUGUGUUAGAAUUCAUAUUGAUUAAUAUUUCUAUUGUUCUUUGUGCAAAAUAUAAUUCAAAGAUAUAAAAAUUAAUUAGAAAUACA